CCUACGGGUGGCAGCAGUGAGGAAUAUUGGUCAAUGGGCGAGAGCCUGAACCAGCCAAGUCGCGUGAGGGAAGACGGUCCUAUGGAUUUUAAACCUCUUUUUCCGGGGAGCAAAAAGCGGUACGUGUACCGCAUCGAGAGUACCCGGAGAAAGAGCAUCGGCUAACUCCGUUCCAGAAGCCGCGGUAAUACGGGGGAUGCGAGCGUUAUCCGGGUUUUUUGUGUUUAAAGGGUGCGCAGGCGGCGAGUUAAGUCAGCGGUAAAAUUUCGGGGCUAAACCCCGACGAGCCGUUGAAACUGGGUUGCUAGAGUGGGCGAGAGGUAUGCGGAAUGCGUGGUGUAGCGGUGAAAUGCAUAGAUAUAACGCAGAACUCCGAUUGCGAAGGCAGAAUACCGGCGCCCAACUGACGCUCAGGCACGAAAGCGUGGGUAUCGAACAGGAUUAGAUACCCCAGUAGUC
rnacentral:rRNA from 1 species